rnacentral:rRNA from 1 species
CUCGUAGGUGGUUUGUCGCGUCGUCUGUGAAAUCCCGGGGCUUAACCUCGGGCGUGCAGGCGAUACGGGCAUAACUUGAGUGCUGUAGGGGAGACUGGAAUUCCUGGUGUAGCGGUGAAAUGCGCAGAUAUCAGGAGGAACACCAAUGGCGAAGGCAGGUCUCUGGGCAGUAACUGACGCUGAGGAGCGAAAGCAUGGGUAGCGAACAGGAUUAGAUACCCCUGUA